rnacentral:lncRNA from 1 species
GAGCUGUAGGGAUUCGUAGACCUUGUCCUGUCCAUCUCCUUCAAUGUACAGGAAAGGACAGUGAAGACAGGGAGCUCAAGUGACCUCCUCCAGGGUAUAUAGCUGAAUUCAACUGUCCAGAUAGAAAGGUGGACAUGGAAAAAUUGGGCUUUGCAAAUGGUCACCCAAUUCUUGCCUUCCUGGUCUCCAGAUCACCCUUCCUAUACCGCCACUCUGGAGAAAGAAGUACAGAACGCUAACAAGCUAGAUACAGAGGACCUAACAUACAACUCAGAGUCCCUAGAAGAUGGAGAAAACACAGACAAUUGGCAGAGGAGAUGAGCAUGUGAUUAUUGUUACCACUUGUCUGGAAGCAACCAGAAUGGAGUGGGGAAGACUCAAGGAGGAGAUCUUCACAGGACUCACCUCUCAUCACAGCUCCCGUGUGGUUGUAAUCACCCCAGAGGGAAAAAUAAUUUCGGUUUUUUAUGGUUUAAUUAUUGGUGAUAGCAGCUGUUUUGAAGACACAAACACAGAAGCAAGUUCUAGAACAUACUCACAGUUUCCUUGGUCACAGUGUUGUCAGUGGUUCUAUAAAGGUCUUAUGAAUCUCUACUUAGUUGACCACAAGUAGUAAGCAAGAAACAAUCCUGUAAAGAGAAUGGAGGUCAGAAUAAAGAAGCCUUGAGGGUUUAAAUCGCUUCUUGAAAAGAAAUGCCCGUGUGUCAAGGAGCUAAGGGAGACCAGCCCAGGAGGAGCUGAAUCCUGCCAACAAUCACUUGAGUGAACUUGAGAGUGAAUCCUCUCCAUGUUAAGCCUUGAGGUGAUUGUAGCUCCAUCAAAUACCUUCAUUGUAGCCUUGUGAGAGAUCUGAGUCAGAGGAUGGAGUUAAGCCAAGCCCAGAUUCCAGACCCUCAGAAACUUGAAAGCGGAAUACCUGGUUAUCCGGAGGUCACUGUCUCCACACAGAGUGGUGUCCUUGAUGCUAGCUUGGGGCAAAGAAGCCAGGCCAGCUUGUGGUUGCAAUAGGAAUAGAAGAGACUUCCUUACUCCAAUCCCACCCUACCCCCUCAUCCUGCCUCAACCAGUCAUGCAGAGAGAUGCUGAAUGGCUGCCUGCUCUCAGGGGAAUGAUUUGUGGAGGUUUAAUUAAAAUAAUUUAAUCAAUCAAAUCCAACAAA